rnacentral:ncRNA from 1 species
AGCUCUGGAGAAUCUCGAUGGUGAGUGCCGAAGGUGCAAGGCCCGUUUGGGCUGAAUCUCUCAGGCAAAAGGACAGAGCAG